UGGUAACCAGUUUAUAAUAGCAAUAAGGCGCCUUGGGGGUUUGUGAUAUAUGGCCAAUAUACCACGGCUAAGGGCUUUGUGCCACGUUGCGUCGUUGUUAAGGACAGCACUUAGCCGUGGUAUAUUGGCCAUAUACCACACCUCCUCUGGCAUUAUUGCUUAAUUAUCAACUUUGUCAUAGAAGAGUACAGCUGGUUAAACUUCAAGCAAGAGAGAUAAAGACACAGAGAGAGGGAUUUGAUGCCCUAUAUUACAACCUGUGAUAGAGAGGUGCCUUGUUGCAAUUUGCUUCCAAAUAGAGUACAGAUGUUCUGGGGCAAAUAAAAGAAGACUUUAAAAGGAAAAUAUAAUGAAGAGCAUGUAUUUCCAAGCAAAAUUCUUUGAAAUUGAGCUUAAUUGUAUGUUUUGAGAUGAUUAAUAUUACUAAUUAAAACAGAAAAUGUCAUGCACCAUAUUGCUUCAGUUAUGUUUUACCAUAAAUAUAGCCUAAUUAUUCAUUUUCUUAUGAGUCUAUUGCAUAUCUUGUGACAAGUAACAUCCAUGGUAGAUAUAUUAAACUAAAACCAGUCAGACCUAUUUGUAGCCUAAUUAUGGGUCUAAUAUGUAAUCAUAACGUAAGUAAAUUGAAUCGUGUUAUUUCUCUUGGCUCUCUGGUCAAGAGUCCAGAUGGCUUUGCCCUGGUCAAAUGAGAUUGAUAAAAAAAAAAAUUUAAAAAAAGAUGGACAAGGGAAUCACGACACGACAUCCCACCCUAGCAACCGCCUUGUCGCCACGGCAACAUCCUCCCCUGUCCUGUUCUCUUCGGUGGCUUCAAUAGUAUUACAAGCAUAAUGGUCACUUGCACAGUAGCCUGUUUUCGAUUAGAUUACCAACUCCUACAAAGAUAGUUGGGGUACACACUGUAUUGAUAGGUGUGGGGGGGCAUCAUUUCGGCUGUAGCCUAGUCUAUAGUUAGAUUAGCACGGGCGGGGUAGGCUACCCGGUGACAGCACACACACCCAUAGAUGUGGGUUGUUAUUAGGCGCAGAUUAGGAGGGAGCAGGACUCGAGAAAAUCUCGGUUGCAAUUCCAUUAGGACAAAUUAUUUCAUUGCUCUCGAGAAAAAACAGAGUAUACCACGCGCGUACACGCAUUCUGGCUCCCGCUCCCUUUUAACAACCUCCUUUCCAGGCUCGCGCCAUCCGUCCUCUUCGAAUACCUGCACAGCAGCCCGUUACCGUUCGUUCGGAUGGAUCCCGCUGUGCUCAUCUUCCUGCUGUAUAUGAUGAUAGCUCAUGAGCUGGUCUGCGGCUGGUUGCAGUACCGGAGGCAAGCUGCCAAGCCCCGCAAACGAGCCGGGCCGAUGUGGAGUACCAGUGCUCGAGUUUGCCCUAGCAGCUGGCGGGUCAGCAGCCAGUCUUGCAGGACAGAGAGAGGACGAGACUGGAGGAGGGCUGCUGGGAAGAGUGGGAGGCGGAUUGUCAGAAAGGCCUGAGCUGGAGAGAGCAUCUGUUGAGCAGAACUUAGACAAUUCCCCAACCCCAGAGUGGAUUGUUGGACUGAAAGACCUCUUCUUGUCUUGAACUUGGAACUUUGACAGGUAUGAAGAGCUUGAUCUGCUGCAGCAUCUCUUUGCUGUGAUUGAGCAGCACAUUGCCCAUGGGGAUGUGGUCUGUCAACACAGCAAUGGAGUCUAAACUCCGGAGAACAGUACAACAUGAGGAAAUGUCUAUGGAAGUGUGGAAAGGCUGAAUAUUGCUGUAUUUUCAACUGUUUGUCUAUUUAUUUGUUCAUCUAUAUUGUCUUAGUCAUAUUUUAUCAUGUUAUUUGGUGAUGUUUGUAUUCCAAAUCAGCUGUUAUCCUCCCUUCAGGAUCUGUAUUUUAGACCACACCACCAAAAAAGCUAUAUAGUCCAUCAGAUGCAUCCAUGAAUUUGAAGUGUCCUUUUUGUUUAGACACUAAGAAAUGUUUGUGAGGCCAUGUUCACACUAAUGUAGAGACCACCAGGUGUGUUUACUGUGGAUGUGGCUCUAAUAACAUUUGAAUUAAAACACUCUUCUGAAAUGAACCAUUGAAAGACUCACAGUGAACAUAGAGAAUUGCCACUGUCUGUGAUGGAGCAACAAGUAUGCUGAACAAAAUAAUAAAUGCAACAUGCAACAAUU